CACGUAGUUAGCCGGUGCUUAUUCUUACGGUACCGUCAUGACUCCAGGGUAUUAACCCAAAGCUUUUCGUUCCGUACAAAAGCAGUUUACAACCCGAAGGCCUUCAUCCUGCACGCGGCAUUGCUGGAUCAGGCUUUCGCCCAUUGUCCAAAAUUCCCCACUGCUGCCUCCCGUAGGAGUCUGGGCCGUGUCUCAGUCCCAGUGUGGCUGAUCGUCCUCUCAGACCAGCUACAGAUCGUCGCUUGGUAAGCUUUUAUCCACCAACUACCUAAUCUGCCAUCAGCCGCUCUAGUAGCACAAGGUCUUGCGAUCCCCUGCUUUCAUCCGUAGAUCUCAUGCGGUAUUAGCUACUCUUUCGAGUAGUUAUCCCCCAUACCUAGGCACGUUCCGAUGUAUUACUCACCGUUCGCCACUCGUCAGCAUCCGAAGACCUGUACCGUUGACUUGCAUGUGUAAGGCAUGCCGCCAGCGUUCAAUCUGAGCCAGG
rnacentral:rRNA from 1 species